CGCGUAAACGCCACCGACGCUACUACGCGCCACGCUGUCUCCCUCAGCUCGCCGUCUCGCGCUAAAUACAGCUGUUCACCGGACUCCCUCUGAAAAACAGUAUAUGUAACGCGAGUGUCAAGUGAGUUGUGGAUAACAUUGCAGCAUAUGCAUUUUGGUAAGUACACUGCUUGUUUACAAUUAUACAUUAUCUUAUUACUAUUGAAUACAAACCUACGCAUAUAACUGUACGGCGGCAGGCACCCCAUGUCACAUGUAUAGUUGUGGAUAACAUUGCAGCAUAUGCAUUUUGGUAAGUACACUGCUUGUUUACAAUUAUACAUUAUCUUAUUACUAUUGAAUACAAACCUACGCAUAUAACUGUACGGCGGCAGGCACCCCAUGUCACAUGUAUAGUUGUGGAUAACAUUGCAGCAUAUGCAUUUUGGUAAGUACACUGCUUGUUUACAAUUAUACAUUAUCUUAUUACUAGUGAAUACAAACCUACGCAUAUAACUGUACGGCGGCAGGCACCCCAUGUCACAUGUAUAGUUGUGGAUAACAUUGCAGCAUAUGCAUUUUGGUAAGUACACUGCUUGUUUACAAUUAUACAUUAUCUUAUU